ACAAGAUCAUUACACUAUUAUUUUUAGACGGGACUCCAAAGCUUUGCAUCUUGAUGAUGAAAGUGAAGUUGGGGAAGAUAAUGAUAUUGACUUGGAAGCAUUUCAGCGUAGGCGCCUUUUGGAUGGUGAUGAAGAUAAUGAUUGGUUAAAUUGAUGAAAUUGUGAAGGGGGUGCUGAUGCCUUGUCAUGCCAAUGAUGGACAUUUGUUAUUCAAAUUGUAUGCCUUGAAUAUGAGUUGAACUCUUUUAUGGACUUUUUUGGAAUUGUGAAAGAAUGUCAACAUUUAUUUUAUUUAUUUGUGUGUUUUUGUUUGUGAUAAUUGGUGAACAUUUGGGCUAUAUCUAUUUAUGUUUGUAAUGAAUUUAUGAAAACUU